rnacentral:rRNA from 1 species
AAACGUAGGGGGCGAGCGUUGUCCGGAAUUACUGGGCGUAAAGGGCGCGUAGGCGGUUAUCCAAGUCAGGGGUGAAAACCUUGGGCUCAACCCAGGGCCUGCCUCUGAAACUGGGUGACUUGAGGGCAGGAGAGGGGAGUGGAAUUCCCAGUGUAGCGGUGAAAUGCGUAGAUAUUGGGAGGAACACCAGUGGCGAAGGCGGCUCUCUGGCCUGUUACUGACGCUGAGGCGCGAAAGCGUGGGGAUCAAACAGGAUUAGAUACCCUGGUAGUCCACGCCGUAAACGAUGGGUGCUAGGUGUAGGAGGUAUCGACCCCUUCUGUGCCGUAGUUAACACAAUAAGCACCCCGCCUGGGGAGUACGGCCGCAAGGUUGAA